GAUGAACGCUGGCGGCGUGCCUAAUACAUGCAAGUCGAGCGAACAGACGAGGAGCUUGCUCCUCUGACGUUAGCGGCGGACGGGUGAGUAACACGUGGAUAACCUACCUAUAAGACUGGGAUAACUUCGGGAAACCGGAGCUAAUACCGGAUAAUAUAUUGAACCGCAUGGUUCAAUAGUGAAAGACGGUUUUGCUGUCACUUAUAGAUGGAUCCGCGCCGCAUUAGCUAGUUGGUAAGGUAACGGCUUACCAAGGCAACGAUGCGUAGCCGACCUGAGAGGGUGAUAGGCCACACGGGAACUGAGACACGGUCCAGACUCCUACGGGAGGCAGCAGUAGGGAAUCUUCCGCAAUGGGCGAAAGCCUGACGGAGCAACGCCGCGUGAGUGAUGAAGGUCUUCGGAUCGUAAAACUCUGUUAUUAGGGAAGAACAAAUGUGUAAGUAACUAUGCACGUCUUGACGGUACCUAAUCAGAAAGCCACGGCUAACUACGUG
rnacentral:rRNA from 1 species